CUCCUUUUUUCCUUGGUACGAAGGGCUGCGAUCCUUGCUCUCGUAUGUUGCUCCCUGUCAUGCCUGGCGGCUGACCGAGUUGCUCUUGACGGAGGCCGAGAACCAGGGACUCCUCCGUCGCCGGUGCACGGGCCAACAGUGGACACUCCAGGUCCUGGAUUCCCUGUUCCUAGGAUUCCUGGGCCAUGUCCUUCAACCCCUAUUCAUACACCGCCGCCACCCGUUUAUGGGAACCCAGUGACUCCAACUCCUUCAGUGCCCAUUCCACCGCCGCCCAUUCUGGUGCCCGGGAACCCGCUGGUGACUCUAAUUCCUUCAGUCUCUACUCCUUACUGCCCCCAUGCGGGUGACGGUGAGCACGCCAUGUUAUUCAAUCCCUAUUCCAUGUGCCGCGAGUGCCGGAUAUGUCGGCACCGACACCAAACCGCAAGACACUGCAGCAUCUUGUUAAGAACAUCCGUUGAUUACGCAUGAAACACUUUCACUCCUAUAUCUAUUGUGUGUUAUCUGUUACGUAUGAUCAAUGAUGUUGCUAGUUAAUUGAGGCUGUAAUAGUUGCACUAAUAAAAAUAUGACAUCGCCUCAUUGUAAUCUUAUAAAUUCAGGUGUGAUUCAACUUUUUG